CACUCGCCUAACGAGUGGGCGUCCGGCGGAAACUCCAGGGCUUGGGACCGGAAGACUUGAGGGGUACGUCUGGGGUAGGAGUGAAAUCCUGUAAUCCUGGACGGACCGCCGAUAGCGAAAGCACCUCAAGACGACGGAUCCGACAGUGAGGGACGAAAGCUAGGGUCUCGAACCGGAUUAGAUACCCGGGUAGUCCUAGC
rnacentral:rRNA from 1 species